ACAUAGACCACGAGGUGUGUGAUUUGAAUGAGUGGCUUAUCCUUCCUCUGUCUCUUUGUCUUGCAGGUCGAAUGGAAAUCACAAUUGUACUGGUCUCAUAACAUCGCGGUGAGAGUGAUGUUCAGUAUUGUGUGAAGCUCUUAACACAGUCCACAAUGAGCUUUCAAUGCACAUUUGUUCUAAGUCCCUCAUCCUGGCUUACUGGUUGACGCAAUGAAAGUAAAGGCAAACGUGAGAGUGGAGAGGUCUGUCACGGGAGCUAAGAAAUGGGAGCAGGAGUGGAAGAUUUUCAAAUCCAGCCGAAGAGGAAAUUACUCAUAACCUUUAAGGCUAUGCCACCCUGUGUGAUGACUACAGAGCAAGCUCUCAUAGGCAACAAUAAAGCUCAAGCCAGUACAUUCUCUUCACCCCAGAGAGAGGCUCAGGACCUUGGAGGACCUCUGAAACUCCUGCACGAAGCUGCGGAGCCUCCUUCUUACAGGCAGGAGCGCAGGUCAUCUAUCACCCAGAAGCAGGGUUAUGGAGAGAUGUUUAACGUGGAAAUGACUCUUGUGGGGAGCUGGAAGAAUAAACUUGUCCCUAAGGCGCCGUGUCUCAUUCUGGCUGGGAGAAAGUCAAGCUGAACCAGAAAGGGAGCUGCAGGACAGUUUGUCCUGCUGACAUCACCACCAGGAAGCCCUCCAGCCUUCUGAUGCCGGCACUCCAGCCGCCUCCCACUGGGACUCCCUCCUCAACAGCAGUUCGCAGGGCUUGUCCAGGGGCCCUGGAUGGAAGGUUCUCCCCGCCUGUAGAGGAGGCAGAUAUAUUCUUUAGGCGAAAGGACAGCAGAAUUGUCAAGCCUGGUGGCCAGUAGCGUAUUCCUCUGGGCAAAGGACUCCCAGAGGCAACAUAACCUUAAUGUUGGAGCCACGAAGGCCAACUCACUCCACCAUCUUCAUCACUGGCAGGGAGGUGGCACUAAUCAAGACAGGAUUCUGUAUCUGAUUUAAGCUUUCCUACUUCUCUUCACUUUUACCUGCAUCACCUCUUGUACAAGCUCUCUCUCACCAUGAAUAAAGCUGUAGGAGCCUGGAAAAGACCCCUGAGAGUGAUUACUCAUGCCUGAGCUCACCCCUUGGUAUCCUGCUGGGAGAUGGGCAGUGAGUGGUCAGAGGUCAGCCUCCGGAGUCCCUUGGGCUGGUUGGAACCAUGAGAAGGAGCCUCCCCUUCAGUCCCCAAAGUGGAGUGCAUGAAGCAGCGUCACAGCAGGAUUUGGACCUGAACUUACUCCCCGGGUUCAGGAGGAGUUUUGACAAGACACUGCAUAUCUUUGGAGCAGGUAGUCCCUUCUGUCUCUACAAUCAAAGAAAUUUUUGGCAGCUAUUCCUGUAACACACUAAUGCCCAGGAUCCUAGAUCCACUGUGGUUUUGGUCUCCCUGGUCUCAGCGUGGAUCGCAGAACCCCAGCCUAGAAGCCCUGUCGUGUCUGUCUCUGAACAUGGGCGGUCCAGGGAGGCUGCACCCCUGAAGAGCCCCUGGAGUUGCUGGAGAUGUGUGCGUGCGGUGGGCUGUGGAGAGCACCAGCCUGUUCUGAUCUCUACACAGGGGAGUCGAGGAGAGCUGCUUUAAAAAUCCCCAGUAAAAUUAUCUUGUCUAUUGACUAAACAGGUGAGAGAGGAGAGAAACUGUAGAUUUUCCUUAAGAAACGAUUAUCUCCUCUUUCUCUUUUAUCCCCAGUAAACACUGCCCCAAAUUGGAAGUGAAACGUAUAAUUUGUUGUCCUGCUUGAAAGGUUUCUUAUAACUAUGACUAUGAUACUUGGAUCAGAUUCUAUAAUACUGAACUCCGCUUGGGCUCUACAAGAGCAGAAUUUUGUUAGAAUAAAGGCAUUGUUAUAAAUC
ensembl:lincRNA